rfam:Paenibacillus sp. IHB B 3415 contig_108, whole genome shotgun sequence.
AAUCAAAUAAGCUCUUGCUCUUGUAUAAGCUCAAUAAUUUGGUUUGAGCGUUUCGACCAGGCGACCGUAAAUUGCCCCAGGCUACAGGAGGUAUGUGAUAGGAA